AAGGUCGCUGGACCUUUCCGGUCACCGCCGCGAGUCACGUGGGGGGGCCUGGUCUUGCUAACACGCAGCGGGCUGGGACGCGGUUUGAUCUGGGCUCCACUUUGAUUUUGUUCUAGUGCUGGAGAACCCAGGGCCCAGUGCACACUCUCUGUCUACCACUGAGCCACGUCUCCAGUCCAGGGCUCAAGGUGGGUUUCUCUCCAGUUUCCUCACCUCUGCCCUCCCCAGCCAUCCGCUCUGGGCUCGCGCUGGCUCCCCUCGCAACGGCCACGGCCCCGAACAGCACCUUUCCCCCGCUGCUCAGAGCAACCCGAGGCCCUGAGCACCCGGCAGAGCUGCGGUCAGGAGAACUGUGUUCUCAUUGGCUAAAGCCUGGCUUGCCUGGCGAACCACGCUGCAAGGGCGGCAGCACGGAUGCGAUUGGCUUCUCAGGCUGGGGCUUCUGAGCUAAGGUGGGCGGUGGCGGGCGUGGAGCCCCAGCAGGCAGGUGCUUACUUUCGGGGAGCAUCAAACGCGAGGCUGUGAAUCCUGGCUCCGCCUCGUCCUGGCUGGGCCAGGUUUUCCCGGUCUGUGCGGUGGGGCUCUCAUCCCAGGGGCAGUGAGACAGCCUUUGUCACGCCCCCACUUUCUGCUCGGGAGCUGAGACCACAGAGGCCUGGGUGCCCUCAGCGGGGAGGGGAGCGUGUUACGCGCGGAGCUCCACGGUGCGCCAGGCGGUGCUGGGUCUGUGGGUAGCCCCAGGGGGUGGGCAGAUCCCUGAGCCCUGGUUACCGCCUGCUGCGUGUUGGAGGAAGUGCCCACGCGGGCGGAACCAUCCUGGGGUGCCCAGGAGGCCCCGAGUUCUCCGGACAGCAGGAGGAACAAGCACGCCAUGCGGUGGACCGCGAGAAGACAGGGCGGCGGACCUCUGCGCGAGCCGGCGACAGUGCCAGUCAGCAGCCCUUGGGGUCGAGAACCUGCCGAGGCUGGGGCUGGGGAGAUGUGGGGGGUCCACCCCACGGCCUGACCCCGCACAGCAAAAGAAAGCCCUGUAGCUGUGGAGUUUCCUCUUCCACCCUCUGCCUGGUUUUUAUAACCAGCUCCUGUCGGGUGCACGGCUGCAUCCAGCUGUCCUUAGGUGGGCUGUGGUCCUCCAUGUGGGGUGGGAGGAGGCUCGCCUAGUGGAAGUGGGUGCUAUGAAGGAAUUCUGAGACCCGGGCCUCCCUGGCUCCUGCUGGGCCACGUGACCUCUCCCUGACACUCCUGCUAUGAUGUGACACGAGGACCGCGCCGGAGCUGAGCAUUUGCCAGUGCCCCACCCUUGCACCUCCAGAACCGUGAGCUAAGUUGAAAUUUUCUUUAUAAAAUGAGCCUGCCUCAGGUAUUGCACUGUGGUCACGACAGACUAAUACCAACAGCCUUUUGGCUCUUCACUGCUUGCAGCAAAUGACCCCACACCUUGGUGGGUUAAAACAAACACUUGUCAUCUCACACACGGUGCCUGGGGUAGGCAAGUGGCUUAGCUGGUGCAGCUAUCAGCUGUGAUGUGUCACCUUGAUUGGAUUAGAAAACCCCAGGGUUCGGGGGGAGCACAUCUGGGGUGUGUCUGGGAGGGUCCUGGAGAUGCGACCUUGGGAUGUAUCUGGUCCCUCACCCCUUCCUCUCCGGCAUUGUUUCCAUGCUCUGCUUCACUGCCACCAUGGACUAGGUAGCUUUGUUCCACCACGCCCUUCCCCAUGAUGGUCCUGCCAGGGAGCCAGCUGACCAUGGUCUGAACUUCCAGAAUCCCUGAGCCAAAAUCUUGCCUGUCUUCGUGAGACAAAGGAAUGAGCAGGGCCAGCACUGUCAACAUAAGUCAUGGCAUGGAAGUGGACACAAGGGGCCUCCCGAACCGACAGGACCGCAGCAAGUGAGCCAGUGCAAGACUGCCUGGGGCCAGGGACGUCAGCCUGCAGCUCGGCUUGGGGCCCCUGUGACAUUUAGAGAUUAGGGGAUCAUUUGUCAGUUCCCUGCCUCACACAGCCUCCAAGGAAAUCAAAUAAAUAAUCUUGCUCAUUUUUAGAGA